rnacentral:tRNA from 1 species
GGUGAGGUGGGUGAGUGGCUGAAACCAUCAGUUUGCUAAACUGACGUACGGGCAACCGUAUCGGGGGUUCGAAUCCCCCUCUCACCG